rnacentral:rRNA from 1 species
UUGGCCUUGACAUACUAAGAACUUUCCAGAGAUGGAUUGGUGCCUUCGGGAACUUAGAUACAGGUGCUGCAUGGCUGUCGUCAGCUCGUGUCGUGAGAUGUUGGGUUAAGUCCGCAACGAGCGCAACCCUUUCCUUAUUUGCCAGCGGGUAAUGCCGGGAACUUUAAGGAUACUGCCAGUGACAAACUGGAGGAAGGCGGGGACGACGUCAAGUCAUCAUGGCCCUUACGGCCAGGGCUACACACGUGCUACAAUGGUCGGUACAAAGGGUUGCUACCUCGCGAGAGGAUGCUAAUCUCAAAAAGCCGAUCGUAGUCCGGAUCGCAGUCUGCAACUCGACUGCGUGAAGUCGGAAUCGCUAGUAAUCGCGGAUCAGAAUGCCGCGGUGAAUACGUUCCCGGGCCUUGUACACACCGCCCGUCACACCAUGGGAGUUUGUUGCACCAGAAGUAGGUAGUCUAACCGCAAGGAGGACGCUUACCACGGUGUGGCCGAUGACUGGGGUGAAGUCGUAACAAGGUAAGCGUAGAUGA